rnacentral:rRNA from 1 species
AUUCCAGCUCCAAUAGCGUAUAUUAAAGUUGUUGCAGUUAAAAAGCUCGUAGUUGGAUUUGUUGUGAGAGUGAAGUGACUGGCACAAUGUCAGUCUUUUUCAUUCCACAUUCUUUGUGUUGGCUUUGAGAUGGCAUUCAGUUGCUGCCUCAAAUACACGCAUCUUUUACUGUGAAAAAAUUAGAGUGUUUAAAGCAGACGUUAUUGUCGUUGAAUACAUUAGCAUGGAAUAAUAAUAUAUGACUCGAUUGGUCUAUUUUGUUGGUUUGCACAUUUGAGUAAUGAUUAAUAGGGACAGUUGGGGAUAUUCAUAUUUGAGCGUCAGAGGUGAAAUUCUUGGAUCGCUGAAAGAUGAGCUAAGGCGAAAGCAUUUAUCAAGGAUGUUUUCAUCG